rnacentral:lncRNA from 1 species
CUCAUUUUCCCCUUAAAUUAUGAUAUAUUUCUUACACUAUUCACGUGGAAAUAAGUAAGACGAAAACAAAAAAUUCAGAUAUGCAGUUGACGUUCACAUUUCUUCAGUACGUACCGUUAUCAACAAGACUAUUUCGUUUAAAACAGUACGUGGCUCCAUCUUGGAUUGCUUAAGGCUAUGUUUUUAAUCCGUUUGGGUUGUGAAACCCUUAAGCGUUUUGUAUUAUUUUCUUUUUUUUUUACAGAACGUGAUGAAGUUGUUUGAGAAACACACCUCGUUGUCCAAUGCACAUAUUUUGUUAACAUGUCUAUUGGUAAGAUCUUUCUGCAUGAUUGAUUAGGAACUGCAAUAGACGCUUGAAAGGACAUGGGAAAUCGAUUUCCUUAUACUUACAAUCAUCCCCA